GACAGAGGUGGCAAGCGUUGUUCGGAUUUAUUGGGUGUAAAGGGUCCGUAGGUGGCCCUGCAAGUCUGGUGUGAAAUCCCACGGCUCAACCGUGGAACUGCACUGGAAACUGCGGGGCUUGAGACUCGGAGAGGUGAGGGGAAUUCCCGGUGUAAGGGUGAAAUCUGUAGAUAUCGGGAGGAACACCAGUGGCGAAAGCGCCUCACUGGCCGAGUACUGACACUGAGGGACGAAAGCUAGGGGAGCAAACAGG
rnacentral:rRNA from 1 species